GAUGAACGCUAGCGGCAGGCCUAAUACAUGCAAGUCGAACGGCAGCGGGUGUAGCGAUACAUGCCGGCGAGUGGCGCACGGGUGCGUAACACGUAUGCAACCUUCCUUCAAAUGGAGGAUAGCCCCUCGAAAGAGGGAUUAAUACUCCGUAGUAUUAUAGAUAGGCAUCUAUUUAUAAUUAAAGCUCCGGCGGUUGAAGAUGGGCAUGCGUUGCAUUAGCUAGUUGGUGAGGUAAUGGCUCACCAAGGCGACGAUGCAUAGGGGAUCUGAGAGGACUAACCCCCACACU
rnacentral:rRNA from 1 species